rnacentral:lncRNA from 1 species
UGAUGCUGGAGAACUACAGCCACCUGCUCUCUGUGGGGUGUCAAGUCAGCAAACCAGCUGUGAUCUCCAGUUUGGAGCAGGGGAAGGAGCCAUGGAUGGAGGAGGAAGAGAUAAGGACGUGGAGCUUCCCAGGUGAGCGGGUGGCCUGCAGGGGGCCGGGGGAUGAGGCUCCUGGAAGUCUGCAAAGCAGAACCCGUGGAUGUUGUCUUGUUUUGUUUUUUGAGAUGGAGUCUCACUCAGUUGCCCAGGCUGGAGUGCAGUGGCGCCAUGUCAGCUCAUUGCAACCUCCACCUCCCAGGUUCAAGCCAUUCUCCUGCCUCAGCCUCUUGAGUAGCAGGGAUUACAGGCGCCUGCCACCAUGAGUGACUUAUUUUGUAUUUUUAGUAGAGACCGGGUUUCACCAUGUUGGUCAGGCUGGUUUCAAACUCCUGAACUCAGGUGAUCCACCUGCCUUGGCCUCCCAAAGUGCUGGGAUUACAGGUGUGAGCCAUGGCGCCUGGCCGGAUGUCCUCUUGUUUCAGGCAACUGUUCUUAAAAGCCUGGGAUUUUGGCUGGGCGUGCCGUUUGUUGUUGUUUUCAUCUUUUUCUUUCACUGUGAAAUGCCUCAAAAACAUCUUUGCCACACGUAAAAUUUAGUCCCCUUUCUCUUCUUCAUACCCAGAAACUGGAGAAAGCUAUUCCUGUCCUUUAGUGUACUUAAUGACUAUUUUUGAGAUGGAGUCUCACUCUGUCUGCCAGACUGGAGUGUAGUGGCGUGAUCUCGGCUCACUGCAACCUCUGCCUCCCGAGUAGCUGGGACUACAGGCGUGCACCACCACACCUGGCUAAUUUUUGUAUUUUUAGUGGAGAUCCUGUUUCACCAUGUUGGCCAGGAUGGUCUCGAUCUCCUGACCUCGUGAUCC